CCUACGGGUGGCAGCAGUGGGGAAUAUUGGGCAAUGGGCGCAAGCCUGACCCAGCAACGCCGCGUGAAGGAAGAAGGCCUUCGGGUUGUAAACUUCUUUUCUGAGGGACGAAGAAAGUGACGGUACCUCAGGAAUAAGCCACGGCUAACUACGUGCCAGCAGCCGCGGUAAUACGUAGGUGGCAAGCGUUAUCCGGAUUUAUUGGGCGUAAAGGGCGCGUAGGCGGGUAAGCAAGUCAGAUGUGAAAACCCAGGGCUCAACCCUGGGCCUGCAAUUGAAACUGUUUUUCUUGAGUGCAGGAGAGGCAAUCGGAAGUCCGUGUGUAGCGGUGAAAUGCGUAGAUAUAAGGAGGAACACCAGUGGCGAAGGCGGAUUGCUGGACUGUAACUGACGCUGAGGCGCGAAAGCGUGGGGAGCAAACAGGAUUAGAUACCCGUGUAGUC
rnacentral:rRNA from 1 species